rnacentral:rRNA from 1 species
UACAGAGGUCUCAAGCGUUGUUCGGAUUCAUUGGGCGUAAAGGGUGCGUAGAUGGCGUGGUAAGUCGGGUGUGAAAUUUCGGAGCUUAACUCCGAAACUGCAUUCGAUACUGCCGUGCUUGAGGACUGGAGAGGAGACUGGAAUUUACGGUGUAGCAGUGAAAUGCGUAGAGAUCGUAAGGAAGACCGUGGCGAAGGCGGGUCUCUGGACAGUUCCUGACACUGAGGCACGAAGGCCAGGGGAGCAAACGGG